rnacentral:rRNA from 1 species
GAGAACUUUGCGUCCCAUUAGCUAGUUGGUGAGGUAACGGCUCACCAAGGCGACUAUGGGUAGCCGGCCUGAGAGGGUGAACGGCCACAAGGGGACUGAGACACGGCCCUUACUCCUACGGGAGGCAGCAGUGGGGAAUAUUGGACAAUGGGCCACGAGCCUGAUCCAGCAAUCCUGUGUGCAUGAUGAAGGUCUUCGGAUUGUAAAGUGCUUUCAGUUGGGAAGAAGAAAGUGACGGUACCAACAGAAGAAGCGACGGCUAAAUAUGUGCCAGCAGCCGCGGUAAUACAUAUGUCGCAAGCGUUAUCCGGAUUUAUUGGGCGUAAAGCGCGUCUAGGCGGUUUGCUAAGUGUGAUGUGAAAAUGCGGGGCUCAACUCCGUAUUGCGUUGGAAACUGGCAGACUAGAGUAUUGGAGAGGUGGGCGGAACUACAAGUGUAGAGGUGGAAUUCGUAGAUAUUCGUAGGAAUGCCGAUAGAGAAGUCAGCUCACUGGACAGAUACUGACGCUGAAGCGCGAAAGCGUGGGGAGCAAACAGGAUUAGAU